rnacentral:rRNA from 1 species
UGCGUAGGUGGCGGGGUAAGUCGGAUGUGAAAUCUCGGAGCUCAACUCCGAAACUGCAUUGGAAACUACCUUGCUUGAGGGUUGGGAGGGGGGACGUGGAAUACUUGGUGUAGCAGUGAAAUGCGUAGAUAUCAAGUGGAACACCAGUGGCGAAGGCGAGUCCCUGGACAACUCCUGACACUGAGGCACGAAAGCUAGGGGAGCAAACA